CGAAACCAAAAAACUGGGUUUUUCCAGUCAGUAGCAACUACAAAUAGGAGCCGCUACAGCAGAGAGGAAUUCACAUUUCCACCUCGCUUUUUCGAAUCGGUUCUUCAAUCGGUCAUCGGUUAUGUCUGACCCAAAACGCCAAUCCCUCGUCUGUGGAAUUGGGACAAGUAGUCAAGGGACAAAUGGUGCUCCUUGACAGAAAUUUCGUAAAGGAGAUCGUUCACGUAGAAUGUGGAUAGCCCGCGAAGAGGAGAUAUUGGCUACCUGUUUACUUGACCUCGUUGCACGUGGCUGGAAAUCCGACAAUGGGUUUCGCGCGGGUUACCUCCAAAAAAUUGAGGACACUAUCCGCCAAGAAUUUCCAAAAUCAGACAUCCAAGGUACCCCACAUAUAACCUCCAAGAUUUCUGCUUGGAAGAAGAGCUACAGCAGUCUCAGGAAAAUCCUAUCAAGGACUGGCAUUGGAUUCAACCCCGAUGGUGAUCAUAGGAUCGAUUGCGAUGAUGAGUAAUGGAAGCAAAUUGUCCAGGCGGACAAGCAUGCCAAGGGCAUGCGGAAUAAAUCCUAGCCAAUAUGGGAGACAUGGAAGACCAUUUUUGGAGUGGAUCGGGCAAGUGGAGGUGGGUCUGAACAGGUUGACAAGGCUGCUGAAGAAUUGCGUCGACGACCAGCCACAGAACCAGCCACGAUCAGUGAGUGCAAUGAGAACGACUACUAUCCAUUUUUCGAUGAUGUUCCCAUCGAUGUCACAACUCCAGUUGCUGAACAGCAUGACAUUAACGACUACAGUUCUGGCAAAGAAGAAAAGGCAGCGU